CGCGCCUUUAAGCUUGAGUUUCCUAGAAAAGCGGUGCCGUCUCAUAGCGGCCGUAAAGCUUUGGUUUCCUAGGAAAGCGGUGCCGUCAUAUAGCGGCCGUAAUACAGCGGUGAAUGACGUUACCAGAACGUUGUCUAUGUAAACAAAAUGGGGCGGUUUCCUAGAGAGCGGUAACUGCCACCGUAAAGCUUUGGUUUCCUAGGAAAGCGGUGCCGUCACAUAGCGGCCGUAAUACAGCGGUGAAUGACGUCACUAGAACGUUGUCUAUGUAAACUAAAUGGGGCGGUUUCCUAGAGAGCGGUAAUGUCACCGUAACUUCAAAAAGCGGUGCCGCCAUUUGCAUGACGGCCGCCUUGUCGGUGUCAGACAGUCGACAGAUGGUUUGGUGAACGUUUUAUUGAAAGUGGUGAAGCUAUUUUAAUAAGAAUUUGUGUUUUUUUUUCGUGAUAACGAAAAAAAUGAGUUCCAACUCUUGGAGCAGCAGUGACGACGAAAUUUUAAUAGAUUUCGUUCGAAACCACGAAGCAAUAUAUAAUAUAAAAAGUAAAGACUAUAGAAAAAGUGAAUUAAAACAGAAUUGGUGGCGUGAAAUUGGAGAAAUAUUAAAUAAAACAGCUUUUGAUUGCUCCAAGAGAUGGUGUUACAUACGAGACUAUUAUAUUCGACGUAGAGGAAAACCAGGCACUGGUUCAAGCGGAGAGGCAGCAAAGAAAAGAUCUGAUCUCCUGUCAUUCUUGGACAGCCUUCCUUCAUCCCAAAGAGGCAGUAUUAUUUAUGUUGUAGAUGAAAACAUAGGAGAUAAUAGUGUGAAAAUGGAAAACACUGAUGAUAUCAGAGAAGAAAUACAAACCCCAGAAGACGGAACUAACAUAAUGGAAAAUACUCACAACAGCGAAGAAACACUAUCAAACACUCGGGUAAAAGAAGAUAUUCACAAAGAAAAUAAAGCUAAAAGCAGCGAUAAGAAACGGAAACAUAUACAUACACACAGUCAAGAACGUCUAAACCUACUUAAGAAAAUUGUUGAUCGGAAUUAUACUCAAAGUGGAUUAGAUGAAAACGAUCUGUUUUUUGGUUCAAUGGCAAAAAUAGUUAAGAGGCUGCCACCUUACGAACAAGUUCAAUUAAGAUUACAAAUAGGAUCGUUAGUUGGUAAUGCUGAAUUACGCCACAUUUCAAUCAAGUCACCUCAAGACUGUGCGUUAUCUCCAAAACUUGUUGUUUAAACCAAACUUGAUACAACAAUUUAAACCAAAAUUAAUAACUUUAAUGUAUUUUUUUUUAAAUAAUUAUCGGAAGUUG